AUGGAUGUCCUAGAACAGGGUGGAUCUGAGACGGAGGCAGCGGACUUUGCUCCUAGGAAAGGAGGGUUGGGAAAACCAGCCUCUAGGAAAGCAGCGUUCUCCCUGGUGAAGACGGCAUCGAUGUGUAUCUGGUUCCGGCAGCAUCCUGAUCACCAUGAAUCGAGGAUGGCAAGCAACACGCCUACCUGUUUUGGAGAAAAGGUAGCAAAGGAGAGAAGAGACUCUGUCCCAGAGUCUGGGCACAAAAUCCAGCACUUUCAACAGGCCAAACUCCUGGGCUUGAUGCUAAGGCCUCCUGAGCAAGUAAAGGAGGGAAAAAGGGACUUUCCUGGCAGUCCAGGGGUUAAGACUCCACACUUCCACUGCAGGCAAGCACGACGUGACUAGGAAAUUUAAAAAAAAAAAAUGAAAGGAGGGAAAGAGAUGUUUGUGGACUUACUUUUUACGUUCUAGGAGUUACCUGGUGAUCCCGGCAUGGCCACGCGGGUCAGACUCACAUAAGACAACCCCUUCCCGGAAUCACGUAUUCACUUCCAGAACUACCAAGUAUGGGUUCACCCAACCCUUCCUCUUCCUGUUUAUGUUUUGUCUGUAAUAUUCAUAAACACAAUGAAUUGUAUGAUUAGGACUUCCAUUUUUUUCUUCUUCUUUAAAUUACCUUUUAAAAUUCAAGAUCUUCUCUGGGUUUCUGUCUCACAGGUUAAUUAUAGGGUUGAUUCAUUUAUUCGUUCAACAAACAUUAAACAGUAAUUUCGGGCCAGGGUUGCAGAGCCAAGCGAGACCUGCUGCCGGGUCUGGUAGUCUGGUGAGGACAGACGUAUGGAGAAUUUAAACGGUGAGAAAGUGCUGAGGAGGGGACCUGGGCCGAGUGCUGAGGCACAUUAGCGAGUAUGAACUCUGUGGGUGGGGCUGGGGAAGGCUCUGAGCUGAGCUGCUGUUGGAGCUGCGUCUGGCAGGAGCAUCUCCAGGCCCCUGUGGGACCUCCCCCGAGUUUUCUGUCUUCUCCAAACAAGAGCUUAGCAAAAGCUGCCCUGGGCAAAAGCUCUGCCCUUAGCAAAUGCAUUUGAAACCCUACUUCCCCAGUGCUGUUUUUAUUCUUGAGUUUCCUUCCGCACUAGCUCAGCUGACUUUCCCAAAAGGAAUAUGUGGCUGGUAUAUUUGGUGUGUUCCUGUCACUUCAUCGCCUCCUAGGAACAAGUGAGCACUUUAAAAUUGGGAAAGAUUCUCCUGAAUUUGAAGGGUUUACAGGAACUCUAGCUGGGCAGGGGACCAGAUCCCAUGAAACACCCUUUCCAAAACUCAAAUUCAGUUUGUACAACAAUAAGCAGGGAUGCUUGCAAUGAAAAAAACAAAACCAAAUGAAAAGAAACCUCACAGGUUGUUCCAGUUCACUCCCAGAAAUUGAUUCUUUAGACCCAGGAUGCUGUCAUGAAAUUUUUCAGAAGCGACCCACCUGUUCGUGCUGGUGGGUUGCUUGUGAAAGCAACUGGCCAUCUUUGCCUCUGCAGGUUCUUACCGCUUAUUUGGAGGCCUACUUGGGCUGCUGCUAAGUGAAGAGAUUCCUCCAGUAAACAAGGUUCGGGGGGUGGGGAAGGGGGCUUGGAGGAUCCAACCAAGCCUCUGGCUUAAGAAGGAGCCAGAGAACCACUUGGGGCAUCGUCCACAGCUGGGAAAAAGCUCACUGAAGGCCUCACUGCAGAAGGGUCCACAGGAACAUCACUGAUCCAUUAGCAAGCAAUGCUGGUCAGGCUCCCGACUGAAAGGCUAAGGUCCUUCUAGAGGAGGAGACAAUAACAUACCCCAUCUGCUGAGAGCAUUACAGUUCCCAAAGGGCUUCACUGCAUGAUCUCAUCUGACCAUCACGGUCACCACAUGUGAGAAACAGGUUUUGAUUCCUGUAACCCUGGCAGCACCAAGAGAUGCUGGGUGAGACUUCAGCAUCACCCUGGCCGGCUCCCCGUUCC
rnacentral:lncRNA from 1 species